rnacentral:rRNA from 1 species
AUUGAACGCUGGCGGCAGGCCUAACACAUGCAAGUCGAGCGGAUGAAGGGAGCUUGCUCCUGGAUUCAGCGGCGGACGGGUGAGUAAUGCCUAGGAAUCUGCCUGGUAGUGGGGGAUAACGUCCGGAAACGGGCGCUAAUACCGCAUACGUCCUGAGGGAGAAAGUGGGGGAUCUUCGGACCUCACGCUAUCAGAUGAGCCUAGGUCGGAUUAGCUAGUUGGUGGGGUAAAGGCCUACCAAGACGACGAUCCGUAACUGGUCUGAGAGGAUGAUCAGUCACACUGGAACUGAGACACGGUCCAGACUCCUACGGGAGGCAGCAGUGGGGAAUAUUGGACAAUGGGCGAAAGCCUGAUCCAGCCAUGCCGCGUGUGUGAAGAAGGUCUUCGGAUUGUAAAGCACUUUAAGUUGGGAGGAAGGGCAGUAAGUUAAUACCUUGCUGUUUUGACGUUACCAACAGAAUAAGCACCGGCUAACUUCGUG